UUUUUGUGUAUUGUAGAAAUUACUACCUCUGUAAUAAUUUUGUUUUAAUUAGUGUUCGAGCAAAGUAAGACCUUUGGGAAGGUCUACGGUGUUUGCAAGUUGAUUUUGCUGAAAAAUAGAAACUUCCGCUCUCAGUCCAGGAAUUUUGUAAAUUCACUCGAGCCUGAUUUUCAUCUAAAUUGUUUACACAAGAUUUAUAUACAAAUUUCCCUGAUGUUCUUAAUUUUUCAGAAUUUUUUGAGUUACAAAAGUAUUCGAAGUUUAUAGAUUUCUACAGAAUGUUCUAUGUUUGACAGAUUCUGUUUUUCUUUGUGUUGUUUGCUUAUUUUGAUGAAUCUAUGGGUUGUAUCGGGGGUAUGAACCAUGGAUAAGUUGUAAUACAGUAAAUAUUACACCAAUAUAAAUAAAGAAUGAGUUCACAAUAGUACCUAAAGUGGUGAUUUAUUUUUCUUAUACUAACGGAUCUCAUGAGUUUUCUAUUGAGUUUUGUGUUGUGAAGUUUUCAAGUUUUGGGUAAAGAUUUAAUGGACAAUGGAAUAAGGAGUGGACAGAGCCUAUACUCAAGGAUUCCCAAGGCACCCCAAGACAUAUUAAAGGAUACCAAAGAGACUAAGCUUGGGGAUGCCCCGAAAGGCAUCCCCUCUUUCGUCUUCAACCCAUCGAUAAAUUUAGUUGAGGCUAUAAUAUUAUUCACAACAUAACAUGCGUUUUGCUUGGAGCAUCUUGUAUGAUAUGAGUCUUUAAUUUAGUUUGCCACAAUCAUCCUUGCUGCACACAUCUUUUGAGAGAGACACUCUGAAUCGUGCUUCACUUAUAUCUUUUAGAGCACGGUGGUGUUUUAUUUUUUAGAAAUUAUUAAAUGCUCAUAAUUCACUCA
rnacentral:lncRNA from 1 species